GACGGAGGGGGCAAGCGUUGUCCGGACUCACUGGGCGUAAAGGGCGCGCAGGCGGUGCUGUGCGUCGGCGCUGAAAGCGCUCGGCUUAACCGAGCGAGGUGCGCCGAUACGAUGGCACUGGAGGGCGUGAGACGUUGGUAGAAUUCCGGGUGUAGUGGUGAAAUGCGUAGAGAUCCGGAGGAAUGCCUGUGGCGAAAGCGACCAACGAGCACGCGCCUGACGCUGAGGCGCGAAAGCAUGGGGAGCGAACCGG
rnacentral:rRNA from 1 species